rnacentral:lncRNA from 1 species
CUUAAUUCCCCCUCUGCUUCUUGUUACAGGUAAUCCAAGAAGCUGCUCUUUCAUUUUCCCCAAAUCAGCCUUCAGUUUGGCGUCCUUGAUUUGAUCACUCUACUCUGCUUCUUAAAAGGCAGAGUGCUGAACAUCCCAGUAUCUCAGCAAGGAGAUUAUCCCCAUAAACCGAAUGAAGUGCUUACUGUCAUUAUCCGUAUUUGAUGAAGAGGAUACUGAGCCUCUCAGAGAAUUCAUAAUGUGUCCAUGGUCAUCUAAUUCCAAGUAAUCAACAACGAAUGCAUUGAAUACACACACGUCAGCCUGGACCGGUGGUUUUUUGUUGUUGUUUUUUUAAGAGAAAACCGACAGAGACAGAGAAGUAACAGAGAGAAAAUUCUGCAAAAGCCUUCACAGAGCAACAUCCCAGAAUUACUGCUAAAAUCAAGGGAAUCAUUGAAGUACUUCAAUCACAUUUUGGAUGAGAUAUUUUGGAGAACAAAUUUCUUCCAACUUCUUGAUGGGAUGGAUUUUCAUGCUCUUGCAGUAGUAGAAACCUCACCAGAGGUACUGCUGUUGUCAGUAGUUUCUACCUCAGUCAAUUUUGUUUGGAUUCAGUGUAACACUGAGAAAGGUUUGCGUUUGGAGGAUUUUAG